UCUGGAUUAGCUCAGUUGGUUAGAGCACGCGCCUGUUAAGCGCGGGGUCACUGGUUCAAGUCCAGUAUCCAGAG
rnacentral:tRNA from 1 species